rnacentral:lncRNA from 1 species
AUGUGGGUGGGGGAGACGAGAGGCUUAGAGAAGGUGGGAAGGCCUGUUGGCCAGCAGAUCAAACUAUUUCUCAUGAUACUGUGGUCUCAUCUGAACAUAGUUCUAGGUUUGAUCACAGAGAAGNCAUCUCUAGCAGUCAGAGAAAUGCAAAUCAAAACCACCCUAAGAUACCAUCUCACUCCAGUAAGAUUGGCAGCCAUUAUGAAGUCAAACAACAACAAGUGCUGGCGAGGAUGUGGGGAAAAGGGUACACUUGUACAUUGCUGGUGGGACUGCAAAUUGGUGCGGCCAAUUUGGAAAGCAGUAUGGAGAUUCCUGGGAAAGCUGGGAAUGGAACCACCAUUGACCCAGCUAUUGCCCUUCUUGGACUAUUCCCUGAAGACCUUAAAAGAGCGUACUACAGGGACACUGCUACAUCGAUGUUCAUAGCAGCACAAUUCACAAUAGCUAGACUGUGGAACCAACCUAGAUGCCCUUCAAUAGAUGAAUGGAUAAAAAAAAAUGUGGCAUUUAUACACAAUGGAGUAUUACUCUGCACUAAAAAAUGACAAAAUCAUGGAAUUUGCAGGGAAAUGGAUGGCACUAGAGCAGAUUAUGCUAAGUGAAGCUAGCCAAUCCCUAAAAAAACAAAUGCCAAAUGUCAUCUUUGAUAUAAGGAGAGCAACUAAGAACAGAAUAGGGAGGAAGAGCAUGAGAAGAAGAUCACCAUUAAACAGGGUCGAGAGGGGGGAGGGAAAGGGAGAGAGAAGGGAAAUUGCAUGGUAAAGGAAGGAGACCCUCAUUGUUAUACAAAAUUACAUAUAAGAGGAAGUGAGGGGAAAGGGGAAAAAAACAAGAGAGAGAAAUGAAUUACAGUAGAUGGGGUAGAGAGAGA